UAGUUGGUGGAGUGAUUUGUCUGGUUAAUUCCGUUAACGAACGAGACCUCAGCCUGCUAAAUAGUUUGUCAAACACUGCGUGUUUGUUUCAAAGCUUCUUAGAGGGACUCUCUGUAUCUAGCAGAUGUAAGUUUGAGGCAAUAACAGGU
rnacentral:rRNA from 1 species